UGCCCAGACAUGGAAACUGAGAACUCAGAGUCAUUUGCUUCAGAGACCGUUUCCUUUCUACAACACAGAUAUUCAGUGGUCCCUCUGCUUUGCUGAAUCUCGUCAUGAACCUCAGUUUACUAUGCAGUGCGGCAUUUUGUUUUCUGCAGGCAGGUCCAAUGAGUGCUGCCAUCAAUCAGACUCCAAAAUCGAUGCUCCUGAGGACAGGGCAACAUGUGAGAAUGAACUGUACUCAGAAUAUGAAACAUGACGCCAUGUUCUGGUACCGACAGGAUCCAGGGCUGGGGCUGAGGCUAAUCUACUACUCAUAUGAUGUUGGCAUCACUGACAAAGGAGAUGUCUCUGAGGGGUACAGCGUUUCCAGAACAAACACAGAGUUCUUUCCCCUCACGCUGGAGUCGGCCUCCCCUCCCAGACAUCUGUGUACUUCUGUGCCAGCAGUUAUACCACAGAGCUGUGGGCCUGCCUCCUCUCUGCACAUAAAGAUACAUGCUGAGAAGAGACACCCACCCCUGGAACUCAGUGACAUACUAGAGUUCUCAACACUGGAAUCUUGGAGCUCUGAGUGGUCUGGGCAGUGCAAACCUCAGUCUGUGCUGAGGGACAUCUCCUGGCAAGCUCAGGCAGGUUUGGACCAGACCUUGGACUCAGAGGUCUCCACUGUUGCUGUCUUUCCUCUGAUGCUUCUUUAAUUCUGACUUUCUGGUCUUUGUCUUGAGUUUAAGGAUUGCUGGAUGGAAGGUAGCUUGUAAUUUGGAUAUGCACUAACUCCCUGUUUUCCUUGACAAAACAUAAUGCAUUCUCCCUCUGGGAUUCAGGUCAUGUCACAGGAAAGGGAUGAUUGAACAGUUUCUCAGUAGAUUGAGAAACUAUCAAUGGAAGCACCUCAGAUUGUACUUUGCCCUGCCAGAGAUGAAGCCUAACUCUGAGCAAGCAUAUCUCUUUGAUUACUGGGCUAAGGUGAGUGCUGGAAUGUGGUGCCAUAUUGCUCUAGCACCAGUGGCUAUAACAGGAUAAAGGCUUCCUUCAGUGGCUGCAUCCUGAGACUUCUUACAGGUGAUUUUCCCAUAAGGAAUUUAGAUAGAUCAGAGACCCUUUCUCAGAAUGCCAUCCCUAGAGUCUUCUUUCAUUGAAACCACUUAUGAUACCAAGACAUCUAUUGAAUUUCCACCACAGUGAUGAUAUAGAACCAGUUAGGUAUCAUAGGAAGAUGGAGUUUAUCAUAGAUCUUCUAGAUGUGAAAAGAGCUAGAUUGAAAAAUAGAAGUUGAAGGUUAGUGAGGCAGCUGACAGCCAGCAGCCAGAGCUGUUGACUUUCUAAUGUAGGGCACAGGAUGGAAUUCCAAGGAAGAAGGUUUAGAGUCUGCCAGACAUUAUGGGUAGGAAUUCUGAACUAAAACUGAUAGUAUCUUGAACAAGAAUGGAAGAAACCAAUGGACACUCACUCCUGAGUAUCUGUUGCAACCUUCUAUAUUCAACUGAACUCUGGUGCUCAACAUUUUGGAAGGUAGCUAGAAACAGAGUACAGAAACAAAGCAUCCUUUCGGUCUGUAGUAUUCAUGUCACCACCUCACUGCUUGAUUACAGCCACCUUCCAAGUAACAUGGUACAAUGGUAGCUAUUUUUUUUCUAAAUUGUACACAAAUGUUUCAUUACCAAGUAUAAUCUGAAAAUGACUGACGCUGAGAUAAGUUGAUUUAACACCACCCAGCACAAGAUCUCUUCUCCUGGACUAAGACAUCACAUUUGUCUCAACCCUGCUUUGGUCUCUAGGCUCCUCUUCUGAAUGAACCUCUUUGCAAGUGAAAUGUGACUAUGACUAGGAUGUUUCUGCUCUAGGUGUUGCUUUCAUGACUGUGGCAGAAGUCCUCCUUCUACUCAGCUCCCAUAAUGCUGGAAUCUCACCAGGCAGGGUUAACUCAUGAUUAAUGUGACUGAUUAAUCCAUUCAAAGAAGAGCAGAUGAAUUCAAUGUAGGAAUACUCACUCUACACCAACGAAGUUGGGAUUAAGUAGUAAAUAGAGUAUUUUUGUUCUGUUGCUUUAGCCUUCCCAAUGUAGUACAUGUCUUUGAUGUUAUACCUCAGUAUCUGAAUGUUUUAUAUUCUCCCCAGUUACCCAGGAGUUCAGAAUACAUAAGAAUUAAUGAAUUUGUAGAGGAACAUUUAUUUACUAACAAGCCUGCAUUUGUGUGUGCAACCCAGUUUAUCAUUUGGCAUGGGAAUUUCUUAUUAAUAUAUGGCCUGUUCUUUAAUAUAAAUGUGUAUUAAACCUAGAAGUACAGGUCAAGCUUCCGGGCUAUUUCUGAAAACUUUUCAAUAGAGGAAUGAAGAUAGCAGUUAUUUAAAGACAUAUAGACACCAUAACCAUGGCAACUCUUAUAAAGGAGAACAUUUAGUUGGG